CGCCAGCUUCUGGAAAGGCGCCUGGGCCUCCGGCCACCAGCAGGCUUGGUGACGCUGCAAGGGGCAGUGGAGGAUGGGAGGAGGCUGACAGCGCUCGGCUGCAACCCCGGAGGAGGAUUUUGGGAUCCCUCUGACCCUGUCCUGCUCUAUCACUUCUUCACCGUAAGGGCCUCCAGUUUUGUUGCAGAAGGGCGCAUCCAAACUAGAAAAUGUCCCGUAAAUAGCUGCCAUUUCUGUGUCUGCGGGAGGAGGCUGAAAGCUUCUAAUGGCCAAUAAACCAUGCAAGUAGAAAUGGGACUGCAGUGGGAGAUGGGCAUUUAAGGCUGAAGACGCCAGCAUUCUAAAAUGCCUCUGAGGAUGACCAGCGUUCAUUCUGCAGGAAUCUCUCAGCAACUUUGCCGUCUCUCAAAGCUUCUACUUGUUCCUUAGGUCUCUUACUGUCAACAGGCAACUAUAUUCACUUUAAAAGUGGACAGCAGGGGAUCCCCUGGGUGGCUCAGCGGUUUAGCUCCUGCCUUUGGCCCAGGGCGCGAUCCUGGAGUCCCCGGAUCAAGUCUCACAUCGGGCUCCUGCAUGGAGCCUGCUUCUCCCUCUGCCUGUGUGUCUGCCUCUAUGUCUACCAUGAAUGAAUGAAUGAAUGAAUGAAUCUAAAAAAAAAAAAAAAAAAGUGGACAGCAAUACCCUUAAUCGACUUCUGAAACAACUAUAUGCAAACCUGUAGAGUUUGUGUAACUCUUAUAUUAGUAGAUAAAGCAAGCAAUGUGAUGAUGGUGGAACACCUUAAGCACAGGUAGAAAAGUCACAGACAAAUCUAUCCUAAAGAAUUAAAUCUAUUCUAAAGAAUUAAGCACAAGCACGUACUACUUUAAGAAUAACUGUUAUCUACGAGAUGCCUAUAAAGUGUUAACCCUUCAAUAGAUAUUUUAUCCUGUUAUUUAAGCAAAAAAAGCUGUCCUAUACAUUAUGGCAGAAACUUCCAUAGAACAGGUAGAAAAUUAAAAUUUUUUAAACCAACAUAUGCUCUAUUUUGAGUUCCUAUUUAACAACAAAAAAAGUACACCAACAGAUUUUUUUUUUGCCAAAAAUAAAUGUUACAACUUUA